rnacentral:rRNA from 1 species
AGAAUAUUCCGCAAUGGGGGGAACCCUGACGGAGCGACGCCGCGUGAACGAUGAAGGCAGAGAUGUUGUAAAGUUCUUUUAUCGCUGAAGAAUAACCGGAUCAGGGAAUGGGUCCGGGAUGACGUUAAGCGAUGAAUAAGCCACGGCUAACUACGUGCCAGCAGCCGCGGUAACACGUAGGUGGCGAGCGUUGUUCGGAUUUAUUGGGCGUAAAGGGCGCGUAGGCGGAGGCUCAAGCUUGGUGUAAAAUACCCCGGCUCAACUGGGGAGAUGCGCUGAGAACUGAGCCACUAGAGUCCAGGAGGGGGAGUCGGAAUUCCAGGUGUAGGGGUGAAAUCUGUAGAUAUCUGGAAGAACACCGGUGGCGAAGGCGGGCUCCUGGCCAUGGACUGACGCUGAGGCGCGAAAGUGUGGGGAGCGAACA